UGAUUAUGACGUACUUGUACUGAUUGAGAUUUUAACACGAAGUGAGUGGCGAACGGGUGAGUAACACGUGGGUAACCUGCCCAGAAGUAGGGGAUAACACCUGGAAACAGAUGCUAAUACCGUAUAACAGAGAAAACCGCAUGGUUUUCUUUUAAAAGAUGGCUCUGCUAUCACUUCUGGAUGGACCCGCGGCGUAUUAGCUAGUUGGUGAGGUAAAGGCUCACCAAGGCAGUGAUACGUAGCCGACCUGAGAGGGUAAUCGGCCACAUUGGGACUGAGACACGGCCCAGACUCCUACGGGAGGCAGCAGUAGGGAAUCUUCCACAAUGGACGCAAGUCUGAUGGAGCAACGCCGCGUGAGUGAAGAAGGGUUUCGGCUCGUAAAGCUCUGUUGUUAAAGAAGAACGUGGGUAAGAGUAACUGUUUACCCAGUGACGGUAUUUAACCAGAAAGCCACGGCUAACUACGUGCCAGCAGCCGCGGUAAUACGUAGGUGGCAAGCGUUAUCCGGAUUUAUUGGGCGUAAAGCGAGCGCAGGCGGUCUUUUAAGUCUAAUGUGAAAGCCUUCGGCUCAACCGAAGAAGUGCAUUGGAAACUGGGAGACUUGAGUGCAGAAGAGGACAGUGGAACUCCAUGUGUAGCGGUGAAAUGCGUAGAUAUAUGGAAGAACACCAGUGGCGAAGGCGGCUGUCUGGUCUGCAACUGACGCUGAGGCUCGAAAGCAUGGGUAGCGAACAGGAUUAGAUACCCUGGUAGUCCAUGCCGUAAACGAUGAUUACUAAGUGUUGGGAGGGUUUCCGCCCUUCAGUGCUGCAGCUAACGCAUUAAGUAAUCCGCCUGGGGAGUACGACCGCAAGGUUGAAACUCAAAAGAAUUGACGGGGGCCCGCACAAGCGGUGGAGCAUGUGGUUUAAUUCGAAGCUACGCGAAGAACCUUACCAGGUCUUGACAUCUUCUGACAGUCUAAGAAAAUUAGAGGUUCCCUUCGGGGACAGAAUGA
rnacentral:rRNA from 1 species